AACGAGGCCGACCUGCGGCUGAGUUACCUGCGGAGGGAUCAUUAAAAAAGGGUCUUUCGACCCAUUUUUUUUAAAAAUUCACUACCAGUUUUACUGGAAGUGGGUUUUUUUCAAACACCAAAUUUUAAACUAUUCGUCUUUUGACGAAACCCAAAAUUAAUAAAUAAAACUUUUAACAAUGGAUCU
rnacentral:misc_RNA from 1 species